rnacentral:rRNA from 1 species
UACGGAGGGUGCGAGCGUUGUCCGGAAUUACUGGGCGUAAAGCGUGCGUAGACGGCUAUCUAAGUCGGGUGUGAAAGCCCCGGGCUCAACCUGGGAAUUGCAUUCGAGACUGAAUAGCUAGGGUACGGUAGAGGGAAGUGGAAUUUCCGGUGUAGCGGUGAAAUGCGUAGAUAUCGGAAGGAACAUCAGUGGCGAAAGCGACUUCCUGGACCAGUACCGACGUUCAGGCACGAAAGCGUGGGGAGCAAACAGG